UGAAUACGAGAUGCUACGGCGUCGAAGCAGUCUAUGUCAUAUUUCCAAGAAAAGCUUGCACUGUCAUAAACAAAUAAUGCCUGUACCAUAACCGACACAGGUGGGUAGGUAGAGUAUACUAAGGGGCGCGAGAUAACUCUCUCUAAGGAACUCGGCAAAAUGACUCCGUAACUUCGGGAGAAGGAGUGCCUUAUUUAUAAGGUUGCAAUAACAAGAUCCAAGCAACUGUUUACCAAAAACACAGGUCUCCGCUAAGUCGUAAGACGAUGUAUGGGGGCUGACGCCUGCCCAGUGCCAGAAGGUUAAAGAAGUUGGUUAGCAUCCGCGAAGCUGAUAACUGAAGCCCUGGUGAACGGCGGCCGUAACAAUAACGGUCCUAAGGUAGCGAAAUUCCUUGUCGGGUAAGUUCCGACCCGCACGAAAGGCGUAAUGAUUUGGAUACUGUCUCGGAGAGGGGCUCGGUGAAAUAGACUUGUCUGUGAAGAUGCGGACUACCUGCACCAGGACAGAAAGACCCUAUGAAGCUUUACUGUAACCUGAAAUUGAAAUUGGACUUUACUUGCGCAGUAUAGGUGGGAGGCGUUGAGAAUAUUCUUGCGGGAUUAUUGGAGCCAUCAGUGAGAUACCACUCUUGUAAUGUUAGAUUUCUAACUUUGUAUCAUUAUCUGGUCAAAGAACAGUUUCAGGCGGGCAGUUUGACUGGGGCGGUCGCCUCCUAAACGGUAACGGAGGCGCACAAAGGUUUCCUCUGAACGGGUAGAAAUCGUAUCUAGAGUGUAAAGGCAUAAGGAAGCUUGACUGUGAGACCUACAAGUCGAGCAGGGACGAAAGUCGGUCUUAGUGAUCUGACGGUGCUGAGUGGAAAGGCCGUCACUCAACGGAUAAAAGUUACUCUAGGAUAACAGGCUGAUCUCCCCCAAGAGUUCACAUCGACGGGGAGGUUUGGCACCUCGAUGUCGGCUCAUCGCAUCCUGGGGCGGUAGUACGUCCCAAGGGUUGGGCUGUUCGCCCAUGAAAGCGGUACGCGAGCUGGGUUCAGAACGUCGUGAGACAGUUCGGUCCAUAUCCGGUGUAGGCGUUAGAAUAUUGAGAGGAGCCUUCUUUAGUACGAGAGGACCGAGAAGGACAUACCUCUGGUGUACCAGUUAUCGUGCCAACGGUAAACGCUGGGUAGCUAUGUGUGGAGUGGAUAACCGCUGAAAGCAUCUAAGUGGGAAGCCCACCUCAAGAUAAGUAUUCUC
rnacentral:rRNA from 1 species